rnacentral:lncRNA from 13 species
GCAGGCAGCUGCUACUGCUCCUGGGCUGGAGGAGCUUACAGGGACAGUUGUGAUAUCCAGGGCCCCAAGCCCACAGCCAGGCUAGAGCUGCCCUUGAUGGGGCAGGACACUUUGGAGUCUGGGAUUGCUCCCUGUUCCUGAUAGCCAAUGGCAAUCCACGGCCCAGCCCUCCUGCCAAUACCUCUGCCAGAAACAAUUGCGCAAGCUUCCUCCCACCUUCUAAUCUCAUGGAUGCCUCCCAUGGGCGGAACACAAUCACAAUCCAACUGUCAGGCCUGCCAUGCCCCUAUCCUGUGCCCAUAAAAAGACUUCAACUGGCAGAGCAACACAAGUGUCUGAGUGUCAAACAGAGAAGCAACUGAGCCAUGGAGACUCUGGAUAGACACAGCUAACCUCAGGUGGUGCAGGUCAGGGAAAGAUCACCUUCCUGCAUCAUCCGCUUUCCACCUCCUAUCCCACUGAGAGCCACUUCUACCACCAAAUAAAGUACUCCGUAUACACUACCUUUCA